AUUUGGGUCUAGAAGGGAUGACGUAAUGCUAAACCCGAGAGGUAGCUGCUGCCUCCCAGAGCUCCAGUCGCCAGGGCUGUCGGAUGACAUCCCAAACACAGGGAAAAGCACCAAUCGACCCAGGUGCCUGAGGGUUCAUUCUUCCCCAAGGAAAGGAUGGCGUCAGAAUCAACUCCUCUGCUGGUGAUGCUCACAAGCCAUGGGCUCGGCCUCACACUAUCCACCACUUUAUUUAAAAGAGCACCACAGAUCUUGAUUGAGGAGAGGAAGAGGCUGGACCUACGCCGUUUGACCGGAACCAGCUGGCCCGUGCUGUCGCGGUGGCAGCCAGGGCCUCAGGCUCAUCCCUGCAGCUCAUACUUGCCUCUCCCCUCUGGCUUCUCUGGCAGAAGCCCUUGGCUCCAAGCAAGGGCCGGACCAGUUGUCUGUGAUCUUGGAAGCCCUAAGGACACCUGACAGGGUAUGGAUUCACACCCCUGACAUCCUAAUAUGCAGAGCCACAGGAGCCCUACUGGUUGGGUGAGCUCCCUAGGGGGUGCUGGGCAAGGUAGUACGCAUAUGCAAGUAGCGAUACCCUAGACCACGGCCCUCCUGAAAAGGGCCCUGUCUGGCCGUACCCAAAGAGCUCUGGAAGAUCUUGACUGCCUUCUCUCUGCCCUAGGAUGAGUGGGAAAUAAAAGAAGUCACUCCUGGAAGGCAUUCCCAGGGGGGCACUCUCAGCCUAAACUUCAAACGUUUUAGAUUCCAUGUCUUGCCUUUGUCUUCCUAAGGUUUCUCCUAGAGCCCUAGGUUCUCCUAGGAAGAAAGAAACCUGAGUUUGAGUCUCAGCUCCACUCUGUC